rnacentral:rRNA from 1 species
CGGAACGGGUGAGUAACGCGUGAGUAACCUGCCCUGGAGUGGGGGACAACAGUUGGAAACGACUGCUAAUACCGCAUAAGCCCACGGAUCCGCAUGGAUCUGCGGGAAAAGGAUUUAUUCGCUUCAGGAUGGACUCGCGUCCAAUUAGCUAGUUGGUGAGGUAACGGCCCACCAAGGCGACGAUUGGUAGCCGGACUGAGAGGUUGAACGGCCACAUUGGGACUGAGACACGGCCCAG